AGGUCGACGAUGAGAGGAGAAAAUAUCUAAAAGAAGGCGUCGGCAAUUGCAAAAACCAGAUAGAGACGAAGGAAGAGGAUCCUUCAAAGAUGCAUCCGAUUAACGCGGUGGUUGCGGCGAGGAUGUUGGCCGGAGUCGCACAAUCUAACUCCGUAGGAAGCGAGGCCAUUCCGUUCGGAUCGCUGGAGUGGAUCACUUACGCCGGAAUCUCUUGUUUCCUCGUCCUCUUCGCCGGAAUUAUGUCGGGUCUCACUUUGGGUCUCAUGUCUCUCGGUCUCGUCGAGCUCGAGAUCCUCCAACGCAGUGGUACUCCAACAGAGAAGAAACAAUCAGCUGCGAUUUUUCCGGUUGUUCAGAAACAGCAUCAGCUCUUAGUAACAUUGCUUUUGUUCAAUGCUCUUGCUAUGGAGGGGCUACCUAUAUACUUAGAUAAGAUAUUCAAUGAGUAUGUCGCUAUUAUUCUAUCGGUCACGUUCGUGCUAUUUUUCGGAGAGGUUAUUCCUCAAGCUAUAUGUACCAGGUAUGGUUUGGCAGUGGGAGCUAAUUUGGUAUGGCUUGUCCGUAUCUUAAUGGUUCUCUCGUACCCAAUAUCUUUUCCUAUUGCAAAGAUGUUGGAUUGGGUACUGGGACACAGCGACCCUUUAUUUCGGCGAGCUCAGUUAAAGGCUCUUGUAUCCAUUCACGGUGAAGCCGCUGGAAAGGGAGGUGAACUUACACAUGAUGAGACCACAAUCAUUAGUGGAGCACUUGAUUUGACGGAGAAGACUGCGCAAGAAGCCAUGACACCAAUUGAAUCAACCUUUUCCUUGGAUGUGAAUUCAAAGUUGGAUAGGGAAGCUAUGGAUAAGAUUCAAGCACGAGGUCACAGCCGUGUUCCUGUCUACUCUGAGAAUCCUAAAAAUGUUAUCGGACUUCUCUUGGUGAAAAGUCUCCUUACAGUUCGCCCUGAAACAGGGACUCUUGUCAGCGCAGUUGGGAUACGUCGAAUUCCAAGGGUUCCGGCUGAUAUGCCUCUGUAUGACAUACUGAAUGAGUUUCAAAAAGGGAGCAGUCACAUGGCUGCAGUUGUGAAGGUUAAGGGAAAAAGCAAAGGUCAUCCUUCGACUUUGCCUGAAGAAAAUAGUGGCCAAAGCAACGUCUCAAGUAGUAAAUCCGAGUUAACUGCACCUCUGUUACUGAAGCGAGAAGGGAACCACGACAAUGUCAUUGUCCGCAUCGACAAAGCUAAUGGACAAUCAUUCAUCAGCGAGGCCGGCAGACAUGGGUUUUCGCAUACUUCAGAGGAGAUUGAAGAUGGAGACGUGAUAGGUAUCAUCACACUGGAAGAUGUGUUUGAAGAACUUUUGCAGGAGGAGAUUGUGGACGAAACAGAUGAGUAUAUAGACGUGCAUAAGAGAAUUCGGGUUGCGACUGUAGCAGCAGUAGCCAUUUCAUCAUUAGCGAGAGCACCUUCAGGCCGAAGGUUACUAGGCCAAAAGGGAACUGGAGGACCAAAAACGCCAAAAGCAUCUUCUACUCCUAAAUAGGUUGAUAAACUGAUCGGAACCAUGACCGGUCCUCCUAGAUCGAAAAACUGAUGAUUUCAGAUUCUUCGCUGUCCUACUAUAAACACUUCCUCACUUUAUUCAACCAUACACAUUUGCUCAUGUGCAAUUUCUAGAGGGGGAAAAGAUUGUACCAGAACUUGCAGACGUUUUAGUAACCCACUAAGCACUUAAUUGUCCUGUAAUGCUUUGACAAAUUUAGUUAAAUCAGUUCUAAUUCUAAAAGCAUUCGAGGGACCAUAAAAGGCGGC